AGAGUUUGAUCCUGGCUCAGGAUGAACGCUAGCGGCGCGCUUAACGCAUGCAAGUCGAGCGAUGAGGCUCCCUUCGGGGGGUACAUCAGCGGCAGACGGGUGAGUAACACGUAGGUAACCUGCCCUCAAGACGGGGAUAACGCCUGGAAACGGGCGCUAAUACCGGAUGACCUUAGUUGGGGAAGCACCGGCUAAGGAAAGGCUUUGGCGCUUGAGGAGGGGCCUGCGGCCCAUCAGUUAGUUGGUAGGGUAACGGCCUACCAAGGCGAAGACGGGUAGGGGGUGUGAGAGCACAGCCCCCCACACUGGGACUGAGACACGGCCCAGACUCCUACGGGAGGCAGCAGCGGGGAAUAUUGCGCAAUGGACGGAAGUCAGACGCAGCGACGCCGCGUGGGUGAAGAAGGCCUUCGGGUUGUAAAGCCCUUUUCUGUGGGAAGAGGAAGGACGGUACCAUAGGAAUAAGCGUCGGCUAACUACGUGCCAGCAGCCGCGGUAAGACGUAGGACGCGAGCGUUAUCCGGAUUUACUGGGCGUAAAGCGUGUGUAGGCGGCGUGACAAGUUGGGCGUGAAAGCCCCGUGCUCAACGCGGGGAGGCCGCACAAUACUGUCAGGCUAGAGGGCAUCAGAGGGGUGUGGAAUUCCCGGAGUAGCGGUAAAAUGCGCAGAUAUCGGGAGGAACACCGGUGGCGAAGGCGGCACCCUGGGGGUGCACCUGACGCUGAGAGACGACAGCUAGGGGAGCGAACAGGAUUAGAGACCCUGGUAGUCCUAGCCGUAAACAAUGGAUGCUAGGUGUGGGAGUGAAGAACUUCUGUGCCACAGCGAACGCGAUAAGC
rnacentral:rRNA from 1 species